rnacentral:rRNA from 1 species
CCCUACGGGAGGCAGCAGUGGGGAAUAUUGCACAAUGGGCGAAAGCCUGAUGCCGCAACUCCGCUUUAAGUAAGAAGGGUUUCGGCUCGUAAACUUCUAUCACCAGGGACGAAAGAAAUGACGGUACCUGAAUAAGAAGCCCCGGCUAACUACGUGCCAGCAGCCGCGGUAAUACGUAGGGGGCGAGCGUUAUCCGGAAUUACUGGGUGUAAAGGGGGAGUAGGCGGCAUGGUAAACCAGAUGUGAAAGCCUUGGGCUUAACCCGAGGAUUGCAUUUGGAACUAUCAAGCUAGAGUACAGGAGAG